rnacentral:rRNA from 1 species
UACGUAGGGGGCUAGCGUUGUCCGGAAUCAUUGGGCGUAAAGCGCGCGUAGGCGGCCCGGUAAGUCCGCUGUGAAAGUCAAAGGCUCAACCUUUGAAUGUCAGCGGAUACUGCCGGGCUAGAGUCCGGAAGAGGCGAGUGGAAUUCCUGGUGUAGCGGUGGAGUGCGCAGAUAUCAGGAGGAACACCAACGGCGAAGGCAGCUCGCUGGGACGGUACUGACGCUGAGGCGCGAAAGCGUGGGGAGCGAACAGG